UUUGAGAAUUGUCAUGAUAAUUGCAAGUUCUGAAAAAAUGAAAGUUGACCAUUAAUCUAUGUGAUGAGAGGCAUUUGUUGAGAGUGUUGCUGUGAAAGUUGCUAGUUUUUGCUUGAGGA